UGCAUCUGACGGUUUAGCUUGUAUCAGCUGCCUGCCGAAGCAUUUAACCAACAUGAAAGCACUCGUUCUCGUCAGCCUGCUGAUCAGGACCUGCUUCACGCUAACCUACGAGGACACCACUAGUCAUUACAAUAUGACGGGGCCGUGUCCAACGCCAUACCGUUUAGGAGAGAAUUAUCUCCGGCCCGACUGUCAACAUUGCCGAUGUUAUGAUGGCUUCUACACCUGCUAUAUCUGUCCCCACGUGAACGUGGCCAGUCCGUCUUGUAAAAGAGUAAUACUCACUAUGGGACAAUACCCUACCUGCUGUGUAAAAUGUUCCGCAACUUGAUGGACGUGACCCGGGGUGUGAACAAAAUAAAUCAAUGAAACCUG